UUUAAGACAAAUGUACCGACCAAAUUUAAUAAAUAUUUGGCAAUACAUGAAAACUAUAUAGUGUUUAUACCCGUUUUCUUUCAUUUGACAUAGUGAUAUAGGUUUUGGUUCCACGUGAUGACACCUUAAACCGAAAUAACACGAUGUAGAAUGCCAAGAGGGUCAAUAGUUGGUGUAAAUGGUAAGAAAUGGUUUGACCACAAUCAAGAAACCUCGGAAAAUAGCCAACGCUAAAUACAUUACCUUGAAACUUUAUCCAUGGCAACCGAUUUGGAGCGAAGCCGGACGUGCCCAGGGUGGGAUAUAAAAACACUGGAUACUUCGUAUCUACUUCUAAACAGCAGUCGCUCACCAGGGAGCUGUGUCUGAUGCUUUUACCCUGGAGCGAGUAGCCGCUAACAUUUGGACUGUGGCCGUAUUUUCGGUCAACCAGUUUGAGGUAUCUAUAGAAAUAUGGAGACACAGUCAGGUCGUCUUCGAGAAUCACCGCCAUUUCAGGGGUUUCUCUUGGUGGAUUCCAUGUCUGAAAUACAAGGUCGUCAUGAUAAUGAAAACGAACAUAGGGAAACAAGAACAUUCACUGCAAUCUCUUAUUUGAGUUGCAUUCGGGUUGCAUAUAUAAAUGGCAGUUUUCGGACCUUUGAAUUGCAUUCGGAUUACCGAUAUAAACGGUAGUUUUUGGACCUUUGCGUUGCAUUAAGGUGGCCGAUUUUAUUGUAGUUUUAGGACCUUUGUGAAUAAAGAGGACGUAGCUUAGUCAUGAUGGCCGUUCAGUAUGUAUGUGCAGAGAUUCAAACGCCUUAUUGCGGUAAGCAUCAUGAAACAAGGCCGAAUGAGCCAAGGAAGUUGGACGGUUGUCGAUAGUUGCACAAUAUGACCCCGAAUGAGUACCGGUCAUGACGGAAGGUUUCUAUAAAAUUGCAGGGCAUAGAUAGAGGAACCCCCUUAAUGACUUAUAUGGUUUAUGUUAAGAAUCGUUCUCGGUACAUUACCCUUGCAUCACAAAACAAAUGUCUAUUGUGAAACUGAGUAAAUCGUUUAAAACGUCA